rnacentral:tRNA from 19 species
GACGCUACGGACUUAAAAUCCGUUGGCUUUAUUGACCGUGAGGGUUCAAGUCCCUCUACCCCCA